CUGCAUAAUAGGUCAAAGGAGAUCUCUUCAGCUACCUCCGGGUUUCAACCCUGAGAAAGCAGGAUGAGCUCCUUCCCUGACCCACACGCCAGCCCCUUACUCUGAGGCGCCUUCCUUCCCUCUGCCGCAGCAACGCUGCUCUCGUCUCUGGCCUGACAGUUUCCGCUAUGAUAACCACAAAUUUGACUUUGAAAUCUGAAGCACUAACUGUUUGGUAUGUGGCAUCUCAUUUAAUCCUUUAAUAAAAUAUAUCUAGUAUUAUUGGGAUUUGGGUCCACCUGCCUGCCAUGCAACAAAGCCAUUUACUAACACCAUAUUGUG
rnacentral:lncRNA from 1 species